UACGUAGGCAGCAAGCGUUGUUCGGAGUUACUGGGCGUAAAGAGUAUGUAGGCGGUGUUCUAAGUUUGGUGUGAAAUCUCCCGGCUCAACCGGGGAGGGUGCGCCGAAGACUGGGAUGCUUGAGUGUCGGAGAGGAACGCGGAAUUCCUGGUGUAGCGGUGAAAUGCGUAGAUAUCAGGAGGAACACCAGUGGUGUAGACGGCGUUCUGGACGAUUACUGACGCUGAGAUACGAAAGCGUGGGGAGCAAACAGG
rnacentral:rRNA from 1 species